rnacentral:rRNA from 1 species
UACGUAGGGUCCGAGCGUUGUCCGGAAUCAUUGGGCGUAAAGAGCGUGUAGGCGGCUUGGUAGGUCACGUGUUAAAGCCUGCGGCUCAACCGCAGAAUCGCACGUGAAACCACCUGGCUAGAGUCCGGAAGAGGAGAGCGGAAUUCCUGGUGUAGCGGUGAAAUACGUAGAUAUUGGGAGGAACACCAGUGGCGCAAGCGGCUAUCUGGACGAGUAUUGACGCUGAGGCACGAAAGCCAGGGGAGCAAACGGG